CCCGGGGCAGGGCCGGAGCCGGGCCGGGGUCCGUCCGGAGCUGCGGCCGCGCCGCCCCCGGGGCUGCGGCUCUGCCCGCACCGCCGCCGAGCCAUGGGCAGCCCCGGAGCCAAGCGAGGAGCUGAGCCUGGCUGUGCUGGAUGCUUUGCUACUUAAACAUUCCUGGGUUUGGAUGCCACAGCAGACCCAGAUGUCGGUGCAGCCCUGGACCUGCAGAACGGCACAUGGGAGAAU
rnacentral:lncRNA from 14 species